rnacentral:misc_RNA from 1 species
GAUGAAGAACGUAGCGAAAUGCGAUAAGUAUUGUGAAUUGCAGAAUUCAGUGAAUCAUCGAAUCUUUGAACGCACAUUGCGCCCCCUGGUAUUCCGGGGGGCAUGCCUGUUCGAGCGUCAUUACAACCCUCAAGCUCUGCUUGGUAUUGGGCCCCGCCAGUUCUGGCGGGCCCUAAAGUCAGUGGCGGUGCCUUCCGGCUCCGAGCGUAGUAAUUCUUCUCGCUCUGGAGACCCGGUUGUGUGCUUGCCAACAACCCCCAAUUUUUUAAGGUUGACCUCGGAUCAGGUAGGGAUACCCGCUGAACUUAAGCAUAUCAAUAAGCGGAGGA